CGCACGAAUGGUUGUAUGUGAUGCCUCAGAGGAAGAAAGAUGGCUUAUGUUUAUAGUUUUUGGAUGUGUCUUCUGUCGUCUAUAAUUGAAAAUCAUGGUUUAUCUUCAUUUCUCAGAUGUCAGGCGAAGAUUGGGGCUUCAUCACCUAGGGCGAACCUCAAGAGGCCGCACUAAAGGAACCCCGACGAAUAGUUGCUUGAAGCAGAAUUUAACAAUUCUGUGUGGCUUCAAGGUUCCAGAUUUGAAAGAGCUACUAUCAGCCCAGAUACUAUUUAAUGUUGGCGUCAGCCAGGCCGAUCCCCAAGUUGUAGAGGUGGUUGCUAGAAAGAGCUCGAGUCCAUUGAAAAAGAAGGCCCUAUGAAAAAGGAUAGCCGAGCCCAUAGGUGAGCGGAGUACUCAUGUCAGAGUUGGGAGUCCUGUGCAGUCAACUUUGGAGUUAGAAGAAUCUGGGCCUCCUCUUGUCGGUGACUUUGAAAUCGUGCAGGUGUAUGGUGGCUCGUCUGUCGCUUCAGCUAUCACGAGCAAUCAAGAAGAUCAGGCAGACCAAGGUUUGGAGGAGGUAAUUCUGAGCUUGCCUGCUCCUCCAAGUUCACUGGCCCAACCAGUAUCUCCCAUUGUUGGUCUCCCCUCAGGUGAGGCGACAUCUAAGGUGGCCAGUGCUCAGGAGCCGCACCGACCACUCUAAGGCUUGAGGCUUCAGCCUUGAGGGACCCCAGGUUGGCGAAUGAGUUGCUCUCUCAGAUGCUUCUUUCUGCUGAUGCAAACAAGUUGCUAAACAUCCCUCAGAAGGAGAUGAGGAAGGCAGCUAUCUCAUCCAGAUAUGCUUUCUCUUAGAGAGUUCCCAUGAGCUUGUGAAAGAAAAGAAGAAGUUCAAGCACAAGGUCGGGAUGCUCAAAAGUGCAAAGGAGAAGGCUGAAAGGGAAGCUGGAGAAGCCUCCAUGAGAGCUGAUACUGCUGAUAGGAGAGCUAAGGAUGCUGAGGCCGCAUUAAGGGGAGCUAUCGAGGAAAACUUUCGAUUGUUGGGGAGAAUAAAGAUGCUUGAAGUCCAACUGGAGGCGGCAGAGAAGAAGGUGGCGGAGGCUACUUCCAAGACUGUUGAAGACUUCCCAGCCUCUGAGGAGUAUGGGGACAAGAAAGUCAAAUAUUCUGCUGAUGCCUACGAUGCUGGAAAGUAGUCAAUCUGGGAUAGGGUCACUGCCAAGCAUUCGAAAUUGGACUUAGACUUCUUAAAUGAAAUCUAAGAUCCCACUACAGCGGAUGUCUCCAUGACAGGUGUCUCAGCUCCAGGUGCUGCCUUAUAGCCUUUUUAUUUUUCUUUUCUUUUGUAGUAUGACUCUUCAUGGUCAUUGUAAAAACUUAAGAGAAAUAAAUAAAAUAUCUUAAUCAUACCUUAUCUUUUUCACUUGUGCAAAUCGAUCCGAAGCGAUUAUUUGUUAAUGCCGCUUCAUAACAAUUAAUUAAUAAUACUGCUCCGAGA